UACAGAGGGGGCAAGCGUUGUCCGGAUUUACUGGGCGUAAAGAGCGCGCAGGCGGUCGAUCAAGUCGAGUGUGAAAGCCCCCGGCUCAACCGGGGAGGGUCGUUGGUGACUGUCGCGCUUGAAGGCAGCAGGGGUGAGUGGAAUUCCCGGUGUAGUGGUGAAAUGCGUAGAUAUGCGGAGGAACACCGAUGGCGAAGGCAAUCCCCUGGGCCUGCACUGACGCUCAUGCACGAAAGCGUGGGGAGCAAACAGG
rnacentral:rRNA from 1 species